UACACGCUGUGACUAGCAUAUCAAUAAGCGGAGGAAAAGUAACUAACAAGGAUUCCCCUAGUAACGGCGAGUGAAGCGGGAAGAGCUCAAAUUUGAAAUCUUAAAGGGUUUCCCUUUACGAAUUGUAGUUUAAAGAAGUGUUUUCUGUUGAGGUUUUGGUAAAAGUUCUUUGGAAUAGGACAUCAUAGAGGGUGAGAAUCCCGUAUUUGACCUUUACUUUCAACUUUGUGAUACACUUUCAAAGAGUCGGAUUGUUUGGGAAUGCAGUCCAAAAUGGGUGGUAAAUUUCAUCUAAAGCUAAAUAUUGGCGAGAGACCGAUAGCGAACAAGUACCGUGAGGGAAAGAUGAAAAGAACUUUGAAAAGAGAGUUAAACAGUACGUGAAAUUGUCAAAAGGGAAGCGUUUGACACCAGUGUUGUUUUUCUGAAAAUCAAUUAAAGAACUGUUUAUGCUAAGCUGUUUAGACUUUAUCAGCUAACUGUUUAGUUUUGAGCUUUUCUUUAAUGCACUUUUCAGUUAACAAGUCAACAUCAAUUUCUUUUGCUGUAAAAAAGCUUGAGGAAGGUGGCUUGAGAUUCGUCUUAAGUGUUUAUAGCCUCUUGCCUAUGCAGUCGGAGAGAUUGAGGUCUGCAGCGUAGAUCCUUCGGGGCUAAAUGCAUUUGUGCUAAGUUAUAGCAUUUUAUAGACAACUUGUUGACUAUGAUUUGUCUUGUAGCUCACUCGCUUAUGUUAUUUUACCUACGCUUAGGAUGUUGAGUCGUAGAGCACGCAG
rnacentral:rRNA from 1 species